CUAAUUUCCAUUUUGCUCUAUCAUUGGAGUUGCUCUUACUCAUUCGCUCACUCUCACUACUCUCUCUCUCUCUGACGAAUCCCUCACUCCGAACACCGUCGAGUUCUCCGGCUAAUCCCCUCACUACGAAAGCUAACCUCUCUCUCUGUCGCCGCAAGUGGGCCGCAGUUAAGGUAGUGCAGUGGGUUAAAUUUUGUGUUAAUAUGUCAAGGGUUCGUGGGUCAUCCUCACAAAAUCUCUAACCUUUAUCACGCUCACCAGAGAACAUCCAUCUCCCACCUUUCUCACUCGCAGACGCCGAAUGAACGCCUCAAACUCUUAAACCUCCGGCGCACCAUGCUAGGGUUUCAUUGCUCUUGGAUUUCGUCUUUAAUCUUUUUGAAAAUUGCUUGAGUGUUUUCUUUGAGCCAAAAUUGGUUUGGGUGCGGAGAUUGAAUAAGGUUUUCGUCAUCCUCAUAAACUCAAGCAGCAGCAGCCGAGGUUGAGCGUUCCUCUUUCUAUCAUGGCUUCUUCGCUAGUAGAUCUUUCCAAAUAUCAUGAUUCAUUUCAAAGUUCUUCUCCAGUUAUAAGUAGAUCUCGUUCAAAGAUCAAUUCUUUGAUCAUUUAUUUGCGACGAUAUAUUUUUUUUUCAAAGCUUAAUUUAUGCAAAUUUUGAUCGAUUUUUUUGGAGGUAAUAGCGUCUAUUCUUUAAUGUUUUUUAGAUUUAUUUGCUUUCUUUGAUUGUUUUUCAUCAGACAUGGUGAAUCCUCCACUGCAGAAGACUCGUUCUGGAUAAAGUUUUGGAUCAGCAUCUGCAUAGAGUUCAUGAAUGUGAACAUGCUAAUAAACUGCAAAAAAGAAAGACUCGGCACGGUGAUGGAGUGUACAAAGUCUCUUGAGAUCAUGAUCCAGCUGUCCAGGAUCAAGCUAUCCGUUUUAUUCGCAAUCUUGUUAACGGAUGUGUUGACUCUAUCGAGUAUGUCUUCACUGAAGAGGCCUUUAUAUCACAAGCAAUCGGAAGACAAUUGAGUAUCUAUUCCAAGUCUGAAGUUUGCAUUCAGGUGUAUAAUACAUCCCUCCCUGAGCCACAUUUUGUGAUAAGGGAUGCUGCCAUCUCUGAACUUUUUGUUUGAAAUUUGAGCUCAUUGUUUGUCAAUUAAUUAACUAGAGUGAUUCAGGCUUUUGGAACACUAUACUUCUCUCUAGUUUCUUUAUGAUUUAGUGCUAAAUUAGUUCUAGUUGAAAAAUUAGUUUUGUGAUGUCAAAGUCUUAUCGUAUUUGCAAUUUAUCUUCUUAUUUGUAAUGUCCUGUAAUGAGUGUUAGAGGUUUUUCUACUAGUGUUUUUGUAUUAGAUGAGAUUUUGUUUCUAGUUUGUUGGGUUGCUGUUGGGAUAGACUAUCAAGCAUCACUUAUUCAAUAUACUGUUAUCUUUCUUAUUA